rnacentral:rRNA from 1 species
UACGGAGGGUGCGAGCGUUGUCCGGAAUCAUUGGGCGUAAAGGGCGCGUAGGUGGCCCGGUCAGUCCGUGGUGAAAGCGCGGGGCUCAACCCCGCGUCGGCCAUGGAUACUGCUGGGCUUGAGCACUGUAGAGGCAGGCGGAAUUCCGGGUGUAGUGGUGAAAUGCGUAGAUAUCGGGAGGAACACCAGUGGCGAAGGCGACUACCUGGCCUGUUCUUGACGCUGAGGCGCGAAAGCUAGGGGAGCAAACGGG